rnacentral:lncRNA from 1 species
ACUUAAGUAACUGUGAGAAAUGCUGCUACGGUGGCAUUGGAAAGUGCUGUGGCAACAGGGAGGACAAAGUGGCUCCAUUUGUGAUUCUGUCAGCCCUUGGACUCACUGAUGGGACCGUUCUCCCACUGCUUUUCUUUCUUUGAGCUUCUUUUCUGCUAUCUGGCUGGAAGGAAUAGCUUCUUGUGGACCCCUCUACUUCCAUCUAAAAGCCUUCUCCCUUCCUCCUACUUUAUUUCUAGUUUGAUGCAGACUGGAAUGGGGGCUAAUUAACUUGGUUAAAAGUUCUGAGCCAGGCAAGGUGGCUC